GUAGGUGGCAAGCGUUGUCCGGAAUUAUUGGGCGUAAAGCGCGCGCAGGCGGUUCUUUAAGUCUGAUGUGAAAGCCCACGGCUCAACCGUGGAGGGUCAUUGGAAACUGGAGAACUUGAGUACAGAAGAGGAAAGCGGAAUUCCACGUGUAGCGGUGAAAUGCGUAGAGAUGUGGAGGAACACCAGUGGCGAAGGCGGCUUUCUGGUCUGUAACUGACGCUGAGGCGCGAAAGCGUGGGGAGCAAACAGGGAUUAGAUACCCUGGUAGUCCACGCCGUAAACGAUGAGUGCUAAGUGUUAGGGGGUUUCCGCCCCCUUAGUGCUGCAGCUAACGCAUAAAGCACUCCGCCUGGGGAUACGGCCGCAAGGCUG
rnacentral:rRNA from 1 species